CGUUUGGGCAGUUUGGUGUUGUGUCGGCAUUCCAUUUGCUUACGCAGUGGUUUAGUCUAUUGUGGCCGCAUCUAAGUCUGAGUAGUGCGACUUGGAUUCUUCUGUUAUUGUGUCUAAACCACGGGAUUGGCUUCAUGUUGGUUCGGUGUAAAACCGCUAGGUUUGUGAGCUUUUCAGAGAUGUUUGGUGUGUAUUCCAACACCAGUCUGUCAGGGUCUGUUCGAGUUCUGUUGGCAAGUUCGUCUGCGACUUCAUUUCCAUGUAUGCCAGCAUGACUAGGAAUCCAUACGAAGUGUGCUGGAUUCCCAUUUGAAGUUGGAUAUGGCCUGUAUUGCUGAUUUGGAGUCUGUGAGAAUAGUGAUAACUGGCCAGUCGAGUGGUUUAGGUAUGUAAAAGGCACAGGAGGAAAUGUUUGUGAGUUCGCAGCAUGAACCAUCUGUGUAGAUGGUUAGGUUAUCUGUGGGUUCAUUUUCCAUCAGCUUUCUAAAUAUUUCUUGGGUUCCAAGGGGCUAUAGGCUCUAUCCAGGGAUUGUAGAUCGGCAUUAGGGAGAAACAUUCUUCGGAGUUGAUACGCAUCUUAUUUAAAUGGGGGAUUACUGCCGGUAUGCUUCUGGGUUUCCAGGUUUCAAUGUUGUUCAGUGUAUUUUGGAUUGUGGAGUAGGCUGGGUUCCAUGGCUUGGUGUUGAGUUUGUUUAGGUAUCUUGAUGCUAAGAGAUCCCACCUAUCUUUGAUUGAGGUUAGUCCUGUUUCAAGGUAGAUAAGGGGGGUCGGAGUAGACUUGAGGGC